rnacentral:lncRNA from 1 species
GCUGCGUAUUAUGCAACUGUUUUAUUUUGAUAAAUAAAUGAGCAUGACAGGAUAUUUUGAUAAGUGUUGUGAGAUGAAUUGUGUGACACCCUUCGGGGCAUAAUUACUCUGAUUGAUAUGUUAUUAUUUUAAUUAAAUAUUUUGGGGUAUUUAGAAGGGUGUUACAUUAGUGGUAUCAGAGCAUAGUCGGUCGUGUCGAGUCGUAGUUAUUCUGUUUCCCCUGUACGGGAUAGGUGUUGUGUAACCCUAUCAGUACUUAUUUGUUUUAGUUUGUUGGGUUUUCAGAAUAGAGAUGGCUGGAAG